UAUAGGCAGUUAGGAUUACAUUACAAUAUGGGGUGAGAAAGAUGCAAAAUGAAGGGUCCAACCACCAAAAUCAGGAUUUUGAGAGAGGUGAGACUGAGGAAGAUAGGCACUUGGAAUGUAUUACUCAAAGCUGAUAAUCAGAGCUUGAUAAGGCAUUAGGUCAAGAUGCUAAACAUCAGGAAAAGUACAAUGAUCGAUCUUAAAUGGUUACUCUCAGUCCUCUUUGCAGGCUCAGAGUUGCGAGCAUACUCUGUACAUUUAUAAAGCAUUCUUAGAUUUUUUAAAUGUAGACAUUACAGAUUAAUUUUAUUCAAUUAAUUGUUCCUUUAAAUUUCUCCAUUUUUCUAUCAUGGAAAACCAAAACCUGAGUACUCUCUCUACUCACAACAGAGUUAAUAUAACCACAGAAAGAGUUAAAGGAGAAUGUUUCUCAGUUUGCUUGUGUGCCAUAUAUAAGGAACUGGGGCUAUGGUCAGCCAAAGUGCAACAAACUGCUACUUUUAAAAACUGAAUUCUCACAACUUAGAAUAGAUUUACAAGGAGAUCCUGCUGAAUAGCAUUGAGAGCUUUGUCUAGAUACUCAUGUUGCAACAGAAGAAAGGGUGGGGGAAAAAAUGUAAUUGUAAUGUAUACAUGUAAGGAUAACCUGACCCCCUUGCUGUACAGUGGGAAAAUUUAAAAAAAAUUAUAAAAAAAAAAACAACUGAAUUCUUCCUGUAUUUUUUCACUAAUUUCUCAGUGGAAUUAAACUAUGUAGACUCUAUACCACCCAGUUCUCUAUGAAGCUAUUUCCAAAAGAAUCAAAAAGUUAUGUUCAUAUUAUCUUUCUGAAGCAAAGUAGUUGUUUCUCAAAUACCCAGUACGUUUUAUUUGUCUUAUUUUUGUAUCCAGUAUUUCUGUCUUUACUCUUGGAUUAAAAUUUAUGUCCCAUUCCAUGUUUACAAGUACUUGAUAUUUAUGGGUAGGUUUUUUUGGUUUUGGUUUGGUUUUUGGUUUUGUGCCCUCAGGCAGAUUUUGUUCACUCUAGCUCAUAAAAUUUGAGGCAUUUUAAUCCCUUCUCAUUAGUCUAUCUAUUCAUAUUCACAAUCUUUCAUAUUGCUUUUGCUAUGAGCUCCUAGUUUUCAUUUAUCUAUACGUCCCUAUAGGUUUGGAAUGUCUAUAACUGAAUGUACUCAGGCAAAGGCAUUCAAAUCAAAUAAGGAGAAGAAAAAUCAUUAUCAUUAUGCUUAUCAAGUUGAUAAAAAAACACACAGAUUUUUUAAAAAACUCUUUAAACACAUUUAUAUGAAUUAAUCUCUGACAUUUCACUAUUAUGAAAUAUAUAUGGCAGUAUAUUUGCACAACACAAAAAUUUAUCUUUCAUGCAUAUGCUCCAUAUUUUUGUCUAUUUGCUUAACUUCUUGCUAUCCUUUUAAGUCCUCCAAUACCCACUUCUGAGAUUAGGUCAGAUGUCUAUAAAUUCUAAAAUAGUUAUUACUUCUGAAAUUCAUUAAAUAUUUGAGCUCCUUUUCUGUUUGUACCAUUAAAUUGCCUCCUUGUUCAUAGAAAGAUGUAGUAGCCACUUUAAAAAGGAUCAAUUGUAACAAUUUUAAAGACAUUACUGAAUGGGUAUGAAUAACGCUGGGUAUAUCCUUUUUUUAAGAAGGGAAUCCCCUUUGUUGGUGAAAAAUUAUUUUUUAAAAAUUUCACCAUAUAAAAAUAAAUUGAUUUUAAAUGUCUCAAAAGCUUAUGUAAUAAUAUAUUGAAUUUUAAUUUAUAAUAUUUUUGUCAUUGUUAAAUUAUAAUCAUGUAAGUCUUUUUAAAACAAUACACCAGUUAUGACAAAGUAUAUGUGGUAUUUAGGUUUAAAAGGAGAGCCUGCUCCAGGGCCCCUUUAUGUUAUAAUGAUAUUAAAGAUAAUUCUGCCAGUUGACAUCAGUUUUAUCUCAGACGUUCUAUUUCAUAUUAACCUAUGAUCAGUUUAUUUCCCACAUGCUGUUGAAAGUCAAUGGACACUUUUAGCCCUGGUAAUGUAUAAAACCAAGUCAAGCUUUUAUCUGAAAAGAAAAAAAAUUACUUUUCUUAAUUAAUCAUGUUCUCUAUGGUUACUAACAAAUACAGGAGAAGAAAAAAACGUUGUAACAGAAAGCAAAAGCUGUAUUUUUUAUUGAUUAAGUCUAUAAAAAUUAGGUCUCAAAACCAAACAGCAACCAAAUUGAGAUGCUCAGGAAAAAAUCAGAAAUAUUUACAAGAAGAAAGCAUUUUCCACUCAUGAUUUUGGGAAAGGUCAUAGAUAGGUUGUGUUAGAGGACUUUAAAAAUAAAGAGAGAUCAUCUCCAUGUCCCUUCAUCAAACCCGCCCCCAUAUUAGAAAGGAUAUUCACAGAUAUUUCAAGGUUUAUAUGAGGAUAUUUUCAAUUUUUAUUGCAACAUCUCAUAUGGCCCUCCUAAAGACAUAAAGGCUCACACAACCAUAAAAUAUCAGAAUAAACAAGACUCAGAAACUAUUUUCUCCCAUUCUGUAAGUUGUCUUUUUGUUUUCUUUUUGGUUUCCUUUGCUGUGCAAAAGCUUUUCAGUUUGAUGAGGUCCCAUGGGUUUAUUUUUGCUCUAAUUUCUAUUGCUUUGGGAGACUGACCUGAGAAAAUAUUCAUGAUGUUGAUGUCAGAGAGUGUUUUGCCUAUGUUUUCUUCUAGGAGUUUGAUGGUGUCCUGUCGUAUAUUUAAGUCUUUCAGCCAGGACAUGGAUACAAUCCAAAUGUCCAUCGACAGAUGAUUGGAUUCGGAAGAUGUGGUAUAUAUACACAAUGGAAUACUACUCAGCCAUAAAAAAGGAUGACAUCAUGCCAUUUGCAGCAACAUGGAUGGAACUAGAGAAUCUCAUACUGAGUGAAAUGAGCCAGAAAGACAAAGACAAAUACCAUAUGAUAUCACUUAUAACUGGAAUCUAAUAUCCAGCACAAAUGAACAUCUCCUCAGAAGAGAAAAUCAUGGACUUGGAGAAGAGACUUGUGGUUGCCUGAUGGGAGGGGGAGGGAGUGGGAGGGAUAGGGAGCUUGGGCUUAUCAGACACAACCUAGAAUAGAUUUACAAGAAGAUCCCACUGAAUAGCAUUGAGAACUAUGUCUAGAUACUCAUGUUGCAACAGAAGAAAGGGUGGGGGAAAAACUGUAAUUGUAAUGUAUACAUGUAAGGAUAACCUGACCCCCUUGCUGUACAGUGG
rnacentral:lncRNA from 1 species